AUAAAAUGUACAAGUAUUUUGUGUCAUGCUUCGUGAAGUCAGUACAAACUUCCAUAUUUGAGAGUAGAUACAGAUUUCCAAUUGCCCAAGUGGAAUGACCAUAUCAGAUAUAAAUAUGGCAAUUUACUCAGACCCACUUCUAGCUGGCCAAACCAUGGUACAAUCUAUGACCACAACCGUACAAACCAUAGUGGUGUUAACAGAUAUCUAUAGUCACAACAUUAGUUAGCCAUGAAUUACCCCUACAGAUAGUGCGAUACCUCUCUAGUCAGAGGGAACGCCAUCAUUCACUGGGAGCAGUCCUCUUACGUCUGUCCAGACCAGAUAGGGGAGGGAGAAAUAGAUACCCCAAAGGGUAAGGGGAAUAGAUACCCAUCAGAGAUA
rnacentral:lncRNA from 1 species